AGUAAAACAAAUGUACACAAAUAUUUUCUUGUUACUAAUUAUGAGAUUUUCAGGUAGCGUGUGGAGAUUUCAUCUUAUGUUCAUGAGCGCACAACGUAUAAAAUCAUAAGAAAUGUUUUCUGUUGGUGUGUAGCAGUUAACCGCAUUUAAGUAAAAAUAUUUUAAAAUAAUUUUUACCAGAGCUGAAUUACAUUCAGGUGAGUGCACUUAAUAUAAUUUGGGGUAUUGCAGGAAAAAUUAUAAAUUCCUAAAGUGUUUUUUCUUCCUGACAUGUUUAAAAUUAUUAUUCUCUAUGAGGGUUGUUUGAUACUGCAAGUAGUUUAUCAUGUUUAACAUGUGGAUAGGUUAGGAUUAUUUAUUACAAAUCUGUAAUAUUGAGAUACUGCCCUUGGGUUAGCAGGAUUAAAAAUACAGUGAAAUUUGUUAGGUUAGUAACAUUAUACGUACAGUGAUUCUAAGUACAGUGGAAUUUACAUUUGGUUAGCUUCGGAUAGCGCCAAUUAAAAAUUCUGUAAAAUCAAUUGAACGGUUGGAUGUUACUAACUUAAUCUAACCAACCAAUAUACAUUUUACAGUGAUUUUUUAAUUUAUCAUCUCACGUUGCUGCUUUUUGUAUGCAAAAUAAACUUUGGACACUUUUUUUUAAACUUUAAAUAUGUACCUGUAUUUACUCUGAAAAAAGUUUUUCUAAAUUCAGACUGGGUUUUGAGAAAUCACUGUUUAUAGGUUACAUUACAUUACCUGUGUAGUAAAGGGCCUGUCACCAUGUUGUUCUUUAAUUGAGUUGCAGAUCCUGUUUUUUUUUAUACACAAAUUGUAUAUUUUUUAUUUGGAUAUUGCAAUGCAGAAACGUAAAUUAACACAUUAAAAAAGUUAUGUGACUCCUUAUUGUGCAUUCCAAACCCAAAGCAUCAGUCCUUGAGAGCGAUAUUUUUUAGCAGUUUAUAGGUGCAAAAUUCUGAUUUUUUACGUGAGACAACACAUAACCUGACAUAUAAAAUAAAUUUUCAUUUUGUAACAAAUGAUUCCUUUUAUAUGUCAGGUUAUGUGCUAUUGCAGGUAACUAAUCUGCGCUUUGCGCCUCCAUACUGCUAUAAAAAAUCCCUGUCAAGGGUUGGCGUUUUGGUUUGGAUACACAUUAGAGACUCGUAACUUUGUUAAAACUAUUAUUGAUGUUUCAUUAGGUUAUAAUAUUCAAAUAAAAAAUAAAUACAUUCUUAUAUAUAUGCAAAACCACAGGAUCUGCAAUGCAAUUAGAGGGAAAAAUGACGACAGCUGCUUCACUGCAUAAGCUAUCUAGUGUGACCUGCAAAAUGUGAUUUCUUGAAAACCAGUAGGAAUUAAGAAAAACUGUUUACAGUUUUAAUAGAGGAAGGUUUUUAGUGUCUGAAAAGGUAUUUUCAAAAUUUUAUAAUUUAAUUUAUGGAUAAGCAGCAACAAAAGAAAAUUACCUUUUUUUAAAUUUAGCUAACCAACCAUUCACAUGAUUUUACAAAUUUUGUAUUGUUUAUACUUACCUGCUUUAACAUUAAACUACUGUUAAACAAUUUAUUUCAAUUUUUUAAAAAUAUCUUUGGGAAUUAGCGCAGUAUAAUCGAAGACGUUUACUGUAUUGAUGAUUGAUUUACUUUAUUGAUGCACAACGAAGUUGUAUAAUUGUUGGAUUGGUUAAGCAAAUUCAAGCAUCAAGGGUACUGAUCAAUGGUUUUUAACAUUAUAUUUUCUUAAUGAGUCCAUUGGUAAAACGUUAAAACACUGGAAUGGCUAAAUUUCCAUCGACUGCUUAUGUUUUUUUCCACAUGCUCACUUGAAAACAAUUACAGGGUUAUACUGUAGUUCACAGUUGCAAUACUUGGUUAGGUUAGUUACAUAAGUGCUGUUAAAUCAUGAAAAUGGUUAGGGAAAGGUAACUUCUUCAUAACUACUGUAAAAUGGUGUAAGCAAUUCUUUAGGUAAGUUUUACCUAGACUUUAAAAAUAAUUUAUUUGGCGAAGUACAUAGUACUAAGAAUUACUAUUUAUCAAAUUUGGUUUGUGUGGAAAAGUUGUUACUCUAGGAAAUUUCUGAAUCCAUCUUUGUAGGAAUAUAAACUAAUAUUAUUAGAAACAAAAAAAAACAAUGUGUGGUAUAUUUUAAUUUUCUAACACCCUCUGAACUCUGCAGUUAUGCGAUUACCGAUAAUAAUUGUAAAUCAUUGCAAUAUACAUCCGACACAUUUUGUAGUGAUUUCACAACUGUACUAUGAAGUAAUGCUAUCGACUGCUGCAAAAUAACAUGCUGACAUCUAUUCUCGUGUAGGCAAUUUUUUGAUACGACUAAAAUAUGACCAUAUAGGAUACAUAUAGAAUCUUACAAAUUUUGAUAACCUACCUACUAAUACUCUCCCCGAAGACUUUGGUAAUAAUAAAAAAAAAUUAAUAAAAAAAAA